rnacentral:lncRNA from 1 species
UCUAUGGCCUAACAUACGUCUAACUAUUCAGUUUUAUUCGAAAUGUAACUCCUUCUUGAUCUCAUUCCAUGAGGUUGAUGGGGUUGCUCCACGCUGAUUGGCUAAAAAGCGUUUGCCAAACAAGAGCAAACGCUUUGGAAAGGCGUUUGCUCGCGUUUGCGAAAACUUGCCUCCGUUUGACUCCGAUUGCCCCCAGCCGCGCCGCUACUGAAAACGCCUUAAUUGGGAGAGACAGGAAGAUUGCACGUGGAAGAACACAAGAAGGAUGAAGAAUGUACUGCGCAUGCCAGGCAGCCGUGGGAGGGACGCGUGGCGGCGGGUCAGCGAGCAGCAGGAGGCAGUGACGGUGUGUGAUUAAUGUUCCCUCUUUGAUGUGUUUUUAUACAUUCAUUUUAUAGUUAAACAACAUUCAGAUGAAGGUUCCGUGGACUAUAUAGAAGUGCGGAAUUUGUAGGAUAUGAGAAUGAGGGAAGAAUAAAAAAUAAAAAAAUGAAGGGCGCAUGACGGAAUGGCGGUGGACCAGCCUAGACUAGAGAAAUGGAGGGAGGAAGUGAUUUUUUUUUUUUUUUUUUUUUUUAAGAGGGGUGAAGGAAAGGAAGAUGAGAAAAAGAGGGUGGGAAGAGAAGGUGUGAAAAACAGUAGGAGAAGGGAUAGGAUGUGGGCUUGACCACAAAGCUAUUUUUAACUUUAUUUUGAGACAACUCACAUAGUAAAAAGAAAAAAAAUAUUACAUAAACAUCAAUUUCCAUCUUGCAAUUAAUCCAGUCCAGCAUCUGCGCAACCAGAACCACAGCUCUCCCUGACACCACAUACUCUUGGGAUCCUACUCCAUAUAUUUUCACGUUAAUUCUUAUAACAUCAUUAGAGAGAGAGAGAGAGAGAGAGGCACUUCUUUUUACAUUUAUACAUAUUUUUAUGUAUUUAUAAGUUUGAUAAUGGCUAGACCACCAAGAGAACCACAACUAAAUCCCUACUAGUUAGACUGGACUGCACUCGCUGGAAUGAAAACUGCAAUCAGGAUUUAAAUAUGAACAAAGAAUUUAAUUUUACUUUUAAUUUUAUAACUUAUUGUUAUGAUUUACAAUAUUAAAAAAAAUAUGUUGAAGAUUGAUUGAUUGAUGUAGAUCCAUAUCUCCUGGUCCUCGUCGUUGUCUGAUCCGACCACCUCCAUCGUCGUGGACUCUGUAAAAACUAGAAAAGCAUUACUUGUGUCAAGUAAUAAUUGCCUCGAACCGAUCGGUCUCUGUAUCUAUCACGCCAGUUGUUUUUGGAAAUCAUGUAUGAGGAUUAGUUUGUGGUGUUUUUAAAUUUUCAUACAGCUCUGGCUCUGUAUUUUUCACUUUUUCCCAUAAUAUAUUCCUUACUUUAUUAUGGAUGGAUAUGUUUAAGGGAUUUAUAUUAUAUUUAACAUGCAAUUCCUCUGAUUUAAGUCUUGUUUCUUCGUUUUGAUGUAUGAAACGUAGUGCCUUGUUUAGAACAGUCUGCAUUUGUUUUUUCUGAGUUGUUGAUACUGCUAUUAUUGGUAUUGGUGGAUAUUCCAAUAUAGGAAUCAGUUGUGUUUUUACUAAUGUUGAUUUCAACUUAGGAGUUAAGUUUGUGAAUCUUCUUAACUUAGUCAAUACAGCAUUUCCCUUGUUUUUAAUGUCAGUACAAUGUCCUGUUAUACCUGUUCUUUGCAAUUUUAGUCCAAGAAACUUCCCUUCUUUACAAGUUUGUAUAUCUUUAUUAUUUAUUUUCAAGGUUUUAGUCUUUAUUUGGGCCAUUGGAAUUAUUUAAAAAUUUUCCUCUCGUUUUUAUUUUCCAAGUUCGUUCAUGAUGAAUUGAGCUGUGUUUAUAUAUUCAAUCCACACCAGAACAGCGUGUAUAGAUGAAACAUUCUGUGAAUCAAAGAUGCGGAUCGAGUUUUUAGGAUAUGAGUGUAGGAAGGACGAAAAAGGUUAAUUUUAAGGAAUAGUGAAGGGAUGGUGGUGGUAGUGCUUCCACAGCGGGGAAUUCAUUAUAUUAGUUGCCAGAUUUCCUUAGAUAUAGAUGAGUUUUCCUAAAAAAUUGUGUUCAAAGUGAAAUUUUGUCCUAAGUGUUUUCCUGUGUUUCUAAAUCCAGGUGUGCGUCAAUAGUAAUUGUAGGAGGUAGAAAACAAGGGAAAUAAAGGAGGAA